GGUUUUCUGGUAUUCGAUAGAAGAUUUAGUCUGCUCACUGAGGAAUUUAAAGGGCUGCAGUAUUAUGACUGUACAAAGGUAGCACAAUCACUAAUCUCUUAAUUAGAGGCGGGGAUGAAAGGCCAAACAAAGGAAUACUGUCUCAGGCUUAAUUUUUGAAUUUUUCUUUUCUGUAAAAAGACAGAGAUGNUAAUAAAAGACAAGAAGACCCUGUUAAAGUUUAUUUGGUUGGGUGUGGAAAGUAACCUAUAAUUAUUACUGUGUUUAGCUAAAUUUUGCUGGGGCGGCAGGUAUGAGUACAAUAUAAGGAUAAAUGGGAUGAUUAGAUAAUUAUGUGAGCCGGGAGGACCGAGUGUAAGAAUAAGUUACUGAAGGGAUAACAGCGUUAUAUUACUUGAGAGUUCAUAUUGACAGUGGUGUUUGCGA
rnacentral:rRNA from 1 species